CUUUGGGAUCAAAGAGGGAGGUGAGGGCAUUACAGGCAGGGAUGACCGGAGGUCUUGUGGCAGCCUGGGAGGCAGGGGUCAGUCUUCCAGCGAGGACUCCACAGCGUGGCUCCUGACCUGGCCUGCCCUGCGUGGUCUUCCCCCUGUGGCCUGGGGCCAUCAGGACAGAGUGGGAACAAUGCCUGACUUUCCUGUUCGUACAACAAGGAAUAUAGGAGCUGCCUCAUUGGGUUGGUGUGAAGAUCAAAUAAAGACUGGGGCCGCACCUUGCCAAGGGUUUGGCAUAUGCCUCUUCUGAGGGCUGUCGUCCUCACUGGUCUGUGCCUG
rnacentral:lncRNA from 1 species